rnacentral:rRNA from 1 species
UACGGGGGGGGCAAGCGUUGUUCGGAAUUACUGGGCGUAAAGGGCUCGUAGGCGGCCAACUAAGUCGGAUGUGAAAUCCCCAGGCUCAACUUGGGAACUGCAUCCGAUACUGGAUGGCUUGAAUUCGGGAGAGGGAUGCAGAAUUCCAGGUGUAGCGGUGAAAUGCGUAGAUAUCUGGAGGAAUACCGGUGGCGAAGGCGGCAUCCUGGACCGACAUUGACGCUGAGGAGCGAAAAGCUAGGGGGAGCAAACGGG